GAUCGACGACAAUUAAGGUGACGA
rnacentral:siRNA from 1 species